GGGCGAUUAGCUCAGUUGGCAGAGCACCUGUUUUACACACAGGGGGUCGGCGGUUCGAGCCCGUCAUCGCCCACCA
rnacentral:tRNA from 1 species